rnacentral:lncRNA from 1 species
GAUUUGUCCACGAAGUGCGUCCAGUUUUUUUCGCAACCCUCUCAACUUUUUAGCACAUGCUAUGUGGGUGAAAUGAUGAUACCAUGCCAACUUUAAACAUUUUUAGAGUUCAUUCGUAGUGCUUUUCAAUUUCUGGGUCAUUUAUCUCAAAAAGAAUCAAUAAAUGCAUGAAAAAUACCAAAUGAAGUGUGAAAUAGUUGAAAAUUGAUGAUAUGGCUUUGAAU